rnacentral:rRNA from 1 species
CGAAAGGCCCCUUCGGGGGCCGAGUAGAGUGGCGCACGGGUGUAGUAACACGUAGGUAAUCUACCUCUGGGUGGGGAAUAACGACCGGAAACGGUCGCUAAUACCGCAUAAUGCAGCGGCACCACAUGGUGACAGUUGUUAAAGCGGGGGAUCGUAAGACCUCGCGCCUAGAGAUGAGCCUGCGGCGGAUUAGCUAGUUGGCAGGGUAACGGCCUACCAAGGCGACGAUCCGUAGCCGGCCUGAGAGGGCGGACGGCCACACUGGCACUGACAUACGGGCCAGACUCCUACGGGAGGCAGCAGUCGGGAAUUUUGGGCAAUGGGCGAAAGCCUGACCCAGCAACGCCGCGUGAAGGAUGAAGCUUUUCGGAGUGUAAACUUCAUAAGAAUGGGACGAAUAAGGAGGGGUUAACACCCCCUUUGAUGACGGUACCAUUUGUAAGCUCCGGCUAACUCCGUGCCAGCAGCCGCGGUAAUACGGGGGGAGCAAGCGUUGUUCGGAUUUACUGGGCGUAAAGGGCGCGUAGGCGGCGCAACAAGUCACUUGUGAAAUCUCCGGGCUUAACCCGGAGCGGCCAAGUGAUACUGUCGUGCUAGAGUGCGGAAGGGGCUACUGGAAUUCUCGGUGUAGCGGUGAAAUGCGUAGAUAUCGAGAGGAACACCUGCGGCGAAGGCGGGUAGCUGGGCCGACACUGACGCUGAGGCGCGAAAGCCAGGGGAGCGAACGGGAUUAGAUACCCCGGUAGUCCUGGCCUUAAACGAUGGAUGCUUGGUGUCCGGGGUUACAUAGU